rnacentral:pre_miRNA from 1 species
GGCUGUGAAUUGGUUUAAUCUCAGCUGGCAACUGUGAGCAGUUAAUAAAUCCUCUCACAGUGGUAUCUGGGAUUAUACUAAACACAGCA